UACGGGGGGGGCAAGCGUUGUUCGGAAUUACUGGGCGUAAAGGGCGCGUAGGCGGCGUGUCAAGUCAGGCGUGAAAGCCCUGGGCUCAACCUGGGAACCGCGCUUGAGACUGGCAUGCUCGAGUUCGGGAGAGGAUGGUGGAAUUCCCAGUGUAGAGGUGAAAUUCGUAGAUAUUGGGAAGAACACCGAUGGCGAAGGCAGCCAUCUGGACCGACACUGACGCUGAGGCGCGAAAAGCGUGGGGGAGCAAACAGGG
rnacentral:rRNA from 1 species